rnacentral:rRNA from 1 species
UACGUAGGGUGCAAGCGUUUGUCCGGAAUUAUUGGGCGUAAAGAGCUCGUAGGCGGUUUGUCGCGUCUGCUGUGAAAUCCCGAGGCUCAACCUCGGGCCUGCAGUGGGUACGGGCAGACUAGAGUUCGGUAGGGGAGACUGGAAUUCCUGGUGUAGCGGUGAAAUGCGCAGAUAUCAGGAGGAACACCGGUGGCGAAGGCGGGUCUCUGGGCCGAAACUGACGCUGAGGAGCGAAAGCGUGGGGAGCGAACAGG